rnacentral:lncRNA from 1 species
AACUCCAAUCCUUGUCAUGCUAGCUUAGGCUACUAUAAAUACCAGACAUCCAGGCGUAGUAAACACUUUGGCAAUCUUCUCAUCUUCACCGAGACUAGCAAGAAACUAUCAGCUCACUUACUACAAAAAUUGCACACAAAGCUGGCCAAAACCAAUUCGGUUGAGAGCUGGAUUUUUGCUGCACAUCUGGUGGAAUUUUUCUUGCACUUUACUGCUUUUUUUAAGGUACCAUGAGCUAUACACCUAUUUCAUUUAUAAUUCAUUUAGGCAUCUUAUAUAUUUAGAAAAUCAAGUAUUCCUGCUGAAAACAAAAAGAAAUCCUAUUAUAAACAUGCAUAUGAGCAGUUCGUGAUUCUCCAGCUUUGUAGUUCAAUUUCUAUGCCAAAAUAAGAUCGUGUGUCAGAACUGCCUGGAACACUGGGCAGUUCUGACAGGUACUUUGACACCCACUUUUCGUUUGGUUCUGAGUUGAUCCAAGUCUUGGCCAAAACAUAAAAGUUUUAGCCUUAUGUCUUAGCUUUCCAAUGCCUUUGGAAUUUCUUGAUUUCGGUCUGUGAGUUGUGAGUUAUGGUUCUUCCACUAGACCCUGUCUGUCAUCUAAACGUGCGAACUCCUGGCACGUUGUUUCAUACUUAUGACCUGAUUCCGUUCAGAACUGGAUUGAAGUGUCUUCAUGAAAGUUAUAGCUUUUCUCCUUAGCUUCGCAACGGUAUCUCAUACACCUCGAUCCGACAAUCGUAACCUACAUUGUGUUCAAAACAGUUCUUGACGCCAAAACGGACAAGUUUCCGUUUCCAUUUCCGUUUCCGUUUUCCAUUUCCGCGCGCGUAUGGGUCGCAUUUGCUGUUUUCCUUAUUCGUAUGCAUUUGGAUACCUGUUUGAGCAAUGUUAUGACUCGACCUUCUGUCACAGACGGUAACGAAAUGCUCGGAGACGGUGGGACCCACUGACGGUUGAGUUUGACCAAGUGCCGUUUUUGUCUACUUUUGUACUCUAAGUAAGUAACUGGGACGUUUAUGUGUUAAAUGUCACCAAUAUGAAUUGUGUGUGAUAUAAGGGUGCUUAAGCGAGCGUGUACUUUAUCUCACUCGACCUAAACCCUAAUUUGUAUUUGCAAUAGAUAUGAAUUAUGAUAUAUGAACUGUGUUGGGACUGAAUCCCUGAAGCAUGUGGCUUGGGAUGACCUUUUGUGUGUGUGUGAUGUGGAACUAUGAGUGGGCCCGAUCUAAAGGCUAGACGGACUAUUCGAGCCAGUUAGGGCUUGGUCGAAAUUAGUCCAAACUAUCCUUAAGAUCACCAAUUUUGUGAAUGCAAUUCGAAUACGAUUCGAAGCUCGAGCCAUUUGUGUGUGUAUGGAUACUGGCCAGAGUGGGCGUAAGGUGGUCGGAGGAAGAAAGCGGAGUUCUACGGACCAUUCCUUGUGGUCGACGGAGGGUCGACAGGUGGUCACGCGUGGCGAAUGACUUGGCUUUGGAGCCAAUCCGUAUCCUUGAAUUGUUUUGUUACUUUGCUUUGAUUUUGAUGUAUUUGUGGCAUAAAUAUCUGACUUGAUGCAAAAUUACCAUUUUGCCCCUACUUGCUUACUAAGCUUUAAGCUUACCGUUUUUCUUUGUUAUUUCCUUAACAGGGGUCGUGCGGGGAUCACACUUCACGAGAGUUAUAACCCUAGAAUUUACCUUUGAAAUUAUACUAGUUGGACUUUCUAGGAUGUUUUUCUCACAGUUAGAGUUAGGACUCUGUGUAAGAUCCACUUUGUGGUUUUAGUCUUCGCUUUUGUGUGAUGUAGUGGACUGGAAUAUUCCUUUUGAAGAUGUAUAUAUUGUAAAUGGUACUUUUGGGGAUGUAUAAAUGUGAAUAGUAUCUUUUGGUAUUAUGAUUCUUUUAUUGGACAAAUUUAUGUUUUACACUGGUUGGAGAUGUACUUAGAGUAAAUGUUCAGUUGUCCAAUAGUGAUGUUAUCUCUGAAAUUAAUGUAAGUGAGUGAGUCCUGGCGCGAGCUAGGCAGGCGGUUCGCCAAACCCUUUGGUACGCCUCUGGGUGCGGUGGGGUCGUCACACAUACAUUAAGUACUCCAAAGGUUGUCAGAUCAUUAGAUCCUAAUAAGCAUCCUUUUAGACCGCGAGAGGAAAAUGAAGAGAUACUUGUUCCUGAAGUACCAUAUCUCAGUGCAACUGGCGAAAAAUAUUGGAAUGCGACGAUUAAAAGAUCUCAAAUGAUAUUUGCAUCAGGGGGAGAAAUUAGUAUACAGGAAUAGUGUACUCUUUUUCCUUCACUAGGGUUUUUGUCCCGAUGGGUUUUUCCUUAGUAAGGUUUUAAUGAGGCAUAUUCUUUGUGUAAUGGACAUUCAAGGGGGAGUGUUAUGAAACAACUAAAAUGUGGAUGUCCCUUUGUAUUCCCAAGAGGAUUAAUUCAUGAUUUAUGGCUACAUUAUGUAUAGAAGUUACAAUUCAUAAAUCUAUUCAUGUAAUGGAGAAAUCGUUUUAUAGGUUUCUUCAUAUUCUUGUAGUAGUGGGUGUUUAAUAGGAUUAAUGUACCUUUAAUCUUAUAGUACCUAUAUAUAGAGGUACAUUGACACCCUUUGUGAGGACUUUUGUAUUAGUUGGAAUAAUAAGAUAAUC